rnacentral:rRNA from 1 species
AUUGAACGCUGGCGGCAUGCCUUACACAUGCAAGUCGAACGGUAACAGGUCUUCGGAUGCUGACGAGUGGCGAACGGGUGAGUAAUACAUCGGAACGUGCCUAGUAGUGGGGGAUAACUACUCGAAAGAGUGGCUAAUACCGCAUGAGAUCUACGGAUGAAAGCAGGGGAUCGCAAGACCUUGUGCUACUAGAGCGGCCGAUGGCAGAUUAGGUAGUUGGUGGGAUAAAAGCUUACCAAGCCGACGAUCUGUAGCUGGUCUGAGAGGACGAUCAGCCACACUGGGACUGAGACACGGCCCAGACUCCUACGGAAGGCAGCAGUGGGGAAUUUUGGACAAUGGGCGCAAGCCUGAUCCAGCAAUGCCGCGUGCAGGGUGAAGGCCUUCGGGUUGUAAACUGCUUUUGUACGGAACGAAAAGCCCUGGGUUAAUACCCUGGGGUCAUGACGGUACCGUAAGAAUAAGCACCGGCUAACUACGUGCCAGCAGCCGCAGUAAAAC